AAAACUAGCCAGUCUUUUGGGUAUGAAACCCAUUUAGGCGAGAGUAGUACUAGGAUGGGUGACCUCCUGGCAAGUCCUCGUGAAAGGGUUUC
rnacentral:rRNA from 1 species